UACGGAGGGUGCGAGCGUUGUCCGGAAUCACUGGGCGUAAAGGGCGCGUAGGCGGCUCAUGAAGGCUGUGGUGAAAGUCCGGGGCUCAACCUCGGAUCGGCCGUGGCGACUCGUGGGCUGGAGCACUGUAGAGGCGGGUGGAAUUCCGGGUGUAGCGGUGGAAUGCGUAGAGAUCCGGAAGAACACCAGUGGCGAAGGCGGCCCGCUGGGCAGUGGCUGACGCUGAAGCGCGACAGCGUGGGGAGCAAACAAG
rnacentral:rRNA from 1 species